UAUAAUCUUUGACUCUUCGUCUUAUUUAAAAUAUUUUUGUGAUUAGUAUUUUUUGUUAUUAGAUCAUAAAACAUGAAUACUACUUUAUGCAUGACUAAUUAUUUUGAGUUUUUUUUAUCAAUUUUUCAAAUAAGACGGAUAAUCAAACACUGAACACAAAA
rnacentral:pre_miRNA from 1 species